UACGAAGGGGGGCUAGCGUUGUUCGGAUUUACUGGGCGUAAAGCGCACGUAGGCGGGUCGUUUAAGUCAGGGGGUGAAAUCCUGGAGCUCAACUCCAGAACUGCCUUUGAUACUGGCGAUCUCGAGUCCGGGAGAGGUGAGUGGAACUGCGAGUGUAGAGGUGAAAUUCGUAGAUAUUCGCAAGAACACCAGUGGCGAAGGCGGCUCACUGGCCCGGUACUGACGCUGAGGUGCGAAAGCG
rnacentral:rRNA from 1 species